UACAGAGGGGGCAAGCGUUGUUCGGAUUCAUUGGGCGUAAAGGGUGCGUAGGUGGCGGGGUAAGUCAGGUGUGAAAUCUCGGAGCUCAACUCCGAAACUGCACUUGAUACUGCCUUGCUCGAGUACUGGAGAGGAGAUUGGAAUUUACGGUGUAGCAGUGAAAUGCGUAGAUAUCGUAAGGAAGACCAGUGGCGAAGGCGAAUCUCUGGACAGUUACUGACACUGAGGCACGAAGGCCAGGGGAGCAAACAGG
rnacentral:rRNA from 1 species